UGUUUGCGUAAAUGUUAACAAAAUGAAAAAACGUCGGGUGCAAAUUCGCACCAGUGUACCGCUUGAAGGUCAAUAUACUUUUUUUAAUUAGGUUUGAUGGCGCUUUGAAAACAAAUGUCUGAUAGUUGGUUUUUUCGUUGAAAAAUAUUUUUUGUGCAAUUUUACCAAUUGUCGAACUAUCCAUUAUAACGAAUAAAUAAAGGAAACAUAUGUUUUUAUUGGAAUUGAUUAUUGUACGAUUAGGGUAGUAUUAUUUAGUUUGAUAAUAUUAAAAAGCUGCGUUCAGCGUAUUUCUAUUUUUUUUAAAUUUACUAUCUUUGUAUCUAAUUUAAAGUGAACUUAGAUUCUGACUUAUGGCUAAUUCAAAAAGAAAAUGAACUCGCUGGAAAAAUAAAAAGUUGAUGGCGCACGUUGAUCGGCAAAGAAAAUAAAAGCAGCUACAUGUUUUAGAAAAGAAGUUGUGGCCCUAAAAUGGCAACAACUGUUAAUUAUGAUACCAAAGUUGACGAAAUUUUUGUAUUUCGAGUCGAAUCCAGAUGUGAUGUUGAAUUCUGAAAGCUCAUCAUCUUCAGCUGAUUUAUAAUUGAUCAAAGAAAUUCUUUUUGAAAAACAAUAAUCUCUUAUAUGUCUCAAAGAUGAUAUUCUGGCAUAAAUCAGCCUAUAAAUCACAAAGCAGAUAUUCUAGCUUUAAUCAAGAUUCAACAUAUCUGAGCGGUCGAAAUAAUUUGCGGAUCAUUUUGCACCAUGUUGCUGCUGAGCUUUAUAAAAAGUUUAUAAAAGUUCUCCAAAUUGCCGUCGAUGUGGAUAUAUAUGAGUCAAAAAUCACUUCAAAAAUUGCCAUAAAUUUGGAAAAUAGUUUUGUUUUUUCUAUCAUAAAUCUACAGUUUGUAAGACAGUAAAAAUGUUAGAAUUUUAUAAAAUUUCCUAUUAAUAUUAAUAUUAAUGCUUGCAUUUUGUAUUUCAAAUUAGGUUAAAAUUCUCGAUUUUGAAAGCAGUUUCUAUAAAAAAGAGUGAUUAUAAAAAAAAGUCCAUUACUGGAUUACGUGCACUGAGAAAAGAAUAUUUUUGGAUUCAAAGAAAAUUUCAUAAAAUAAAAAAAAAGUAUUGUUUGGCUCUCAGUCAAAGAAAAUUUUAUUUCAUUCAAAGAACUUUCUUGGGUUCGAAGAAAUGGGUUUUUUCUUUCAAAAAUAAUUU